GCUGGGUGUGAUGCCUCACACCUGUAAUCCCAGCACUUUGGGAGGCCGAGGUGGGAGAAUUGCUUGAGCCCAGGAGUUCCAGACCAGCCUGGGCAACAUAGCGAGACCCUAUCUCUU
ensembl:misc_RNA Metazoa_SRP Metazoan signal recognition particle RNA